CAAAUUACCUAGGAGGGAAGACAUCAUGACCAUGAGUAAGGUGCCCUACCUAGGGUGAGGCUUAUCCACUGCACUCUGGGUAUGCACACCCCUGAUAUUCCCCUAAAAGUGAGAAACACUACUGUAUAAUUUUGUUAAUGGAGAAAUGAAUUCCCACUUUUUCCUU
ensembl:snRNA Gm25938 U1 spliceosomal RNA